UAUUAAACAAGAUAAGAGUUUUUGGUGGAUGCCUUGGGUCUGGAAGUCGAUGAAGGACGUGAUUACCUGCGAUAAGCCUCGGUUAGCUGGAAAUAAGCUGUUAUCCGGGGAUUUCCGAAUGGGGAAACCUAAUUGAGCUAAUCCUCAAUUGUCAUAUCGAUGAAUUCAUAGUCGAAUGAAGAGACACGCUGUGAAUUGAAACAUCUCAGUAGCAGCAGGAAGAGAAAAUAAAGAAUGAUUCCCUUAGUAGUGGCGAGCGAACGGGGAAAAGCCCAAACCAACACUUGUUGUUGGGGUUAUAGGACUAUUUACAUGAAGUUACAAAACUUAAACAUAGCAGAAUAAGUUGGAACGCUUAAACAUAGAGGGUGAAAUUCCCGUAAGCGAAAUGAAUAAGUCUUCUAAUAGUAUCCUGAGUAGGGUGGGGCACGUGAAACCCUGUCUGAAUUUGCCGGGACCACCCGGUAAGGCUAAAUACUAACCAGACACCGAUAGCGAACUAGUA
rnacentral:rRNA from 2 species